rnacentral:rRNA from 1 species
GAUGAACGCUGGCGGCGUGCCUAAUACAUGCAAGUCGAGCGAACAGACGAGGAGCUUGCUCCUCUGACGUUAGCGGCGGACGGGUGAGUAACACGUGGAUAACCUACCUAUAAGACUGGGAUAACUUCGGGAAACCGGAGCUAAUACCGGAUAAAAUAUUGAACCGCAUGGUUCAAUAUUGAAAGACGGUUUUGCUGUCACUUAUAGAUGGAUCCGCGCCGCAUUAGCUAGUUGGUAAGGUAACGGCUUACCAAGGCAACGAUGCGUAGCCGACCUGAGAGGGUGAUCGGCCACACUGGAACUGAGACACGGUCCAGACUCCUACGGGAGGCAGCAGUAGGGAAUCUUCCGCAAUGGGCGAAAGCCUGACGGAGCAACGCCGCGUGAGUGAUGAAGGUCUUCGGAUCGUAAAACUCUGUUAUUAGGGAAGAACAAAUGUGUAAGUAACUAUGCACGUCUUGACGGUACCUAAUCAGAAAGACACGGCUAACUACGUG